GACGAACGCUGGCGGCGUGCUUAACACAUGCAAGUCGAACGGAAAGGCCCUGCUUUUGUGGGGUGCUCUAGUGGCGAACGGGUGAGUAACACGUGAGUAACCUGCCCUUGACUUUGGGAUAACUUCAGGAAACUGGGGCUAAUACCGGAUAGGAGCUCCUGCUGCAUGGUGGGGGUUGGAAAGUUUCGGCGGUUGGGGAUGGACUCGCGGCUUAUCAGCUUGUUGGUGGGGUAGUGGCUUACCAAGGCUUUGACGGGUAGCCGGCCUGAGAGGGUGACCGGCCACAUGGGGACUGAGAUACGGCCCAGACUCCUACGGGAGGCAGCAGUGGGGAAUAUUGCACAAUGGGCGGAAGCCUGAUGCAGCAACGCCGCGUGCGGGAUGACGGCCUUCGGGUUGUAAACCGCUUUCGCCUGUGACGAAGCGUGAGUGACGGUAAUGGGUAAAGAAGCACCGGCUAACUACGUG
rnacentral:rRNA from 1 species